ACAUACUGUAUGUACAGUGAGACAAAACGAUGAGCGCAUCUGCAUCGAAGGUGAAGCUCUCAGAGCUGAUAGUAUAUAAAUGCGUCCUUUAUGUGCAAUACAGUACAGAAUACAUCCUGUAUCCAACUAAUGCAGAGUAUAUUCAAGUUGCCAACACACUGGUUGUGAAGAACCCUUUCCAGAGAAAUAUAAAAGGAAAUGACUGAAACUUGUGUUGGGGAGGAUUCAGUGUCUGUUGAGGUCCAUGUGAAUGUGCUACAAAGUGAGUAUCAGAAAACACAUCCAGACACCUGGACUGUCAAAGACCACACGGCACGAACAUUCUCCUGGAGACGCUGAGAAAGCACGGAAGGAAUGUCUGUGGAGGAUGUACUCAAACACACCCAUACUUAAGGACACCUGCUGGAGUGAGUAUAGUAAAAUCAUCAACUGUAAAAUAUCUUGUUUCAAAUCUUUUCAUGCAAUAUUUUAUUCUUCUGUACCCUUUUAGCCCAUCUGUUAAAAAUUUAAAACAAUAGUUUUAGAAAACAAUGUAAGAUUUAACAGUGUAUACAAGAACAUGACAUGCAUUGUAUAUUGUGACCCUUAUACAUUAGCUUCUAAUAGUUUUUGCAGUUCUGCACUGUAUGUAGCUACACUGUCUGAGUCAAAGAGGAUGUAACAGAAUUUGAUGAAUUUGAAAAGCGUUUCUUAUUUUUUUAAAUUAUUAUUAUUUUUUAUUUAAUUUUUUUAUGUAGGGGGACCCUGCUACACUCUUUCCUACCAUACAACUGAUGGACACUGACUGUAAAAAUGGCAAUCAUAGGAGGAGGGUUCAGUGUGGUGACAGAAGAUGGAAUAGACGUGUGCCAGUGCACCAGCCUUGAUGAAGCCUUCAUAACAGCCUUCUGUAUCAUUGACUGGAAGUCUGUCAGUCCAGAUGUGAGGAAGACCUACAGAGUGAGUUUGAGCUCAGCAGGUGUGAUAGCUGUGGAUACAUCUACAGAAACACCACUGGAUACUGUAGCCAUGGAAAGAAGGGGGUCUUCACAGCUUUCUAUUCAGACAAAGAGUUUGCUGGAUUCUGUUCUAUGGACUGCUACUACAGAAUGAAUGAAUGAAUGAGUGGUUUAUCUAUCUAUCUAUCUAUCUAUCGGCUGAAACUGAAAGCUAAAUAAAUGUUUUAGUUGAUAAAGCUGUGUCUGUUUGCUUAUGUCACUUAACAUAAGGUUACUAAACUCUUCUGACCAAUUUUUAAAUUUUAUAAUUUAGUGGUUUUGUCAACUAUGUAUUUUUCUCUAUCAGGCAAAACAUUUUUUGAGGGUAACACUUUACAAUAAGGUUUCAUUUGCUGACACUGAUGUAUUAACUAACAUUAACUAUGAGCAAUACAUUUGAUACAGUGUUUAUUAAACUUUGUUAGUUAAUAAAAAUACAGCUGUUCGUUGUUUGUUCUUGUUAGUUCACUUCACAGUGCUUUAACUAAUGUUAACAAAUACAACUUUUGACUUUAACUUAAGAACAGCUAGUGCGACUAACCGUGUUAAGAGACGUUUGUAUUCUCGAAAAAUAAUUGUAAUUUGUUUUUGAUUAUUGAUAAAUCAAGACCUAAACUUCCGGCGAUGACGUCAGUAACCCGCGCCAUGCAGAAGUUUUGAAGGUACUUUCAAAAGUAAUUUAAAAUAAUAUUCUUAAUCUCAUUAACGCCGUUUUUACCUUGGAAGAAUUACAUUUGGAUUAUGUUGAAUAUAUGGUUUCCUUUUAAUCUGCGAUUAAGAGUAUAUGCCUCGCCACCUUUUUUUUUUUUUUUUACAGCCAUCUUUCGCAUUACCUUUUGGCACGCCCCCUACCUUUCGUUUCACCAAUGAAAACCCUUUUGGCACGCCCCACACCUUUCGGCACGCCCCCACCUUUUGGCACGCCCAUUUCUCCAGGCUGCAGUUACCCCUACUUGGUCGGCGCUGUACUCUUGCUUGAACUAUUUUUGUUCUUGGUGGAAGCUUUGCAUAGGAUAAUACAUGUGUGCUGUAGUUGACGAUCACCUGCAAUAAUUUGAGUUAAAGUCAUGUUACUUUACUAUUACACAUUAAGUGUUUGCAGUUUUAUAUUAAGAAAUAUUCCUUCUCAGUGGACUCAAAUGAAAUAAGUUAACCAAAUG
ensembl:lncRNA